GGGGGGGGGGGGGGGGGGGGGGGGGGGGGGGGGGGCGGGGGGGGGGGGGCGGCAGGGGGCUGGCGGGGGGGGGACGGGGGGGUGGUGGGGCGGGACGUGCCCGGGCGUGGGGGGUAGCGACUCGGAAGAGUCGGUAGUACCGCGUACGAUCUAUGGAGGAAAGCGGGGGACCGUAAGGCCGCGCGCGAUGGAGGCGGCCGAGGUCAGAUUAGGUAGUUGGGUGGGGAAGGGCUCACCAAGCCAACGAUCUGGAGCUGGUCUGAGAGGACGACCAGCCACACUGGGACUGAGACCCGGCCCAGACUCCUACGGGAGGCACCAGUGGGGAAUUUUGGACAAUGGGCGCAAGCCUGAUCCAGCAAUGCCGCGUGCAGGAAGAAGGCCUUCGGGUUGUAAACUGCUUUUGUACGGAACGAAACGGCUCUGGUUAAUACCCGGGGCUAAUGACGGUACCGUAAGAAUAAGCACCGGCUAACUACGUG
rnacentral:rRNA from 1 species